AUGUCAACCCUCAAGGACCUCCUCCACCUCCUGGCUGUACACGGCAUCCUCUGCCACCUCCUCCCCCACGUGCUCCUCCCAAUGGCCCUACAGGCAGCACUUAGGGGGCUCAUCAUCCAGGUGAUGCCAACCCUCAAAGACCCUCCUCCCCCGCCUAGCCCAACUAGCAGUGCCCUGUGUGCUACUCCCAAUGGACCUACAGGCAGGACUCAGGGGGCUCAUCACCCUGGCGAUUACAAUCCAAGUACCAUGACGGGCCGUGCUACUACAGGUGUUUUUAUCAACUUAACUUGCACACAGCAACCAGUUAGUUGCACAUCAUGGGCUGUGUGGUUGCAGAGAACAUCAAUGCUAGUUGCACAACAACAAAAAAUACUAAUUUUUUUAUAUGAUUAUUACACAGUUGAUCGUGAUGGUCCUACUGCCCCGUUGGAGGCUGCAUCCCCUGCACAACCUUCUGAUGAUUUUGUGCCCAGGGAUCCUCCAAGGUCUACUACAAAGGAUAGGGCAAAGAGUCGACAAUAG
rnacentral:rRNA from 1 species